rnacentral:rRNA from 1 species
GUUGAACGCUGGCGGCAGGCCUAACACAUGCAAGUCGAGCGGAUGGACGAGGCUUUUUCCUGUCUUCCGCUACCGACGGGUGAGUGAUUCCCACGUAUCUACCUUAUCUUUGAGAAUAACGUCCCUUCACGGACCCUAAUCCCGCAUCCGUUCUGAUGGUGAACCUGAUGGAUCUUCAGUCCUCACCCUAUCUGCUGUUCCUAGGUCGGAUUAGCUAGUUGGUGUGGUAAAGGCCUACCAAGGCGACGAUCCGUAACUGGUCUGAGAGGAUGAUCAGUCACACUGGAACUGAGACACGGUCCAGACUCCUACGGGAGGCAGCAGUGGGGAAUAUUGGACAAUGGGCGAAAGCCUGAUCGAGCAAUGCCGCGUGAGUGAAGAAGGUCUUCGGAUUGUAAAACACUGUAAGCUGGGAGGAAGGAAAGUAAGAGAAAAUAUGGAUGUCUUGACGGUACCAAAAGAAAAAGCAACGGCUAACUACGUG